CGCGACGUUAAACUAAUACAUAACAUACAUACAUACCUCUCUCCCAGCACCAGUCAACACAGGGCGAAAACCCCGGCCAUCCAUAACAGAGCCACUAAUAAAGCUCUAAUGCAGGGAUGUCCAUGUAAUUUCAUCACAACAAUAAGGUACCCGCCAUAUUCUAUGGUAUCCUUGCACGGCUCGCGCUGGAGCAGGCAUCAACCUGGGCUCUCCAACAAGUGCAAACCAUGACGCAUCUUUGGUUUAAUCAGGGCACGGAAGCGCCUGUUGUUCGGCUUUUGCUUUACCUUUCAUUCGUCAGAGGUUGCAUUUCUUAUAAUCGUUUCAAAAUGUUCAAAAUCCUGCCUGUAUUUCCAAUAUAGAGAAAAACUCAAGUGUUGCGCCCGAAGGAAGAAGAAAAACUUAAAAUAAAGACGGAUAUCAAACACUUAACCGCAGCAACACUCCUGAGCCUAUUAAUAUCAAUCAUCAUUAAAGAAAUAUCAAACAGGCAAUUCUCCACCUCUCCCUCUCCUCCCUCCGGCCGUUCCAAUGAACACUAGCAGUCUCUUCAACGGUGGUCCCACCACAGGCACAGACCCCACGAAUCCACUUAAUGUAACCAAAAAGUCCCCAAAUAGUACGAAGAGACCGUAUAAUUCGACGCAGAAUCCCGUCAGCGGCCAGCGGAAGAGGAUUAGCAGGAUUCCUAGCACGAAAGUUAUGGUUCCUGUGAGUUUUUGGCGGCGAGCAAAGAAGGAGAGGGUUUUGGACGGGCCGAGGAUCAAGGGGAGGCCGAUUAAGAAAAGGAUCUGUGAGGGAUUGGUUAGAUGUAUGUGUUGGGGGUGCUUGAUUUUUAGUUCCGGAAGGGCUUGUGUUAGUUGUCGGCACGUACGUUUCCCAUGGCGAGGAGCGAUCGAUCAAAAAACAUCAUAAUGCCCAAAAAGAGGAAUAACGCCCCUAUAUAUUAAAAGGAGGUCUCAGACGGAGUGGAUAAAAAAUGUCUUUUUUUUUCUCUCUAUUUGUGCUCAUUUGGGGCUCCAAGAGGUUGAUAGUGAUGGUUCGUCUGUAAUCGCCAGUCGGAAUUGGUUGUGACUGGUGGGAAGAAAGGAAGGGAAAUCGUAGAUAUGCUUCACAUACCGCCAGAACAAAACACCACCCCAAACUUCUGCAUAUCUGAUAACCACAUCGUCGGCAUAUUGGCGGUUAUAUUUUUAUAUUUUCCCUUCGGAAGGGCUACUAUCCCUUUUCUUUCCCGCUGCCCGUGGGAGGAUAGAUAGUUAUAGGUAGAGCGUAUUCUCAGCUCUUCUUCCGGCGCAUAGCACGCUUUGAGCUAAUGAUGGCAAUAUAUGGUAUAAAUAACGACCGACGAUAGAAUAGGGUUAAGAGGAGGUCGGGACUGGACUCGGAAGUUUAUUGGACUCGAAUGGUGUACCGGGGACUUUCGGUGCGCGCGGGGGGAUGGGUAGUCAUACGGAUAGGCGCGUGGCUUCACAUUGAUCUCUGAGAAUUGUGAGCAACAAGACAACA
rnacentral:sRNA from 2 species